rnacentral:rRNA from 1 species
CACGUGAGCAACCUGCCUUUAAGAGGGGGAUAACGUUUGGAAACGAACGCUAAUACCGCAUAACAUAGAAGAUUCGCAUGUUUCUUCUAUCAAAGAUUUAUCGCUUAAAGAUGGGCUCGCGUCUGAUUAGCUGGUUGGUGAGGUAACGGCUCACCAAGGCGACGAUCAGUAGCCGUACUGAGAGGUAGAACGGCCACAUUGGGACUGAGACACGGCCCAGACUCCUACGGGAGGCAGCAGUGGGGAAUAUUGCACAAUGGAGGGAACUCUGAUGCAGCGAUGCCGCGUGAGGGAAGAAGGUUUCAGGAUUGUAAACCUCUGUCUUCAGGGACGAUAAUGACGGUACCUGAGGAGGAAGCUCCGGCUAACUACGUGCCAGCAGCCGCGG